GCUAAACGCAGGAGGGAGCUUGUCGGAGCUGAGGCAAAGCGAUCUCGCUCAGUCUCCGUGUGUUGUAGCAGAUUUCAGACUGCCUCAGUUCAACCCUAACAGCCCCAUCGGUCAGGAGUUUGUGGUCAGGAUUUUUCUGUAACAUCUGCUCUGUUUUCUGCCUGAAUGAGAAGACCGCCAAGGAACUCCACUGCUGCAGCCAGAAACACUACGACAACCUGCAGAAAUAUUAUGAGGAACGUCGACAAAGAGCUACAAAAGCUUUGUCUCAGACGUCUCCAGGCUCCGUUUCUGACUGAUGGACCUGAUCUACUGUAUUUUUAACACAUAACUGUGCAGAGUGUAUAUAUAUGUAUAUGUGUGUAUGUGUGUCCUGGAUGACUGUGGAUAUGUUUGCGGUUUUGUGAUUUGUUUCUUAUUU